UACAGAGGGUGCGAGCGUUAAUCGGAAUUACUGGGCGUAAAGCGUGCGCAGGCGGUUUUGUAAGCCAGAUGUGAAAGCCCCGGGCUCAACCUGGGAAUGGCAUUUGGGACUGCAAGGCUGGAGUGUGGCAGAGGAGACUGGAAUUCCUGGUGUAGCAGUGAAAUGCGUAGAUAUCAGGAGGAAUACCGAUGGCGAAGGCAGGUCUCUGGGCUAACACUGACGCUCAUGCACGAAAGCGUGGGGAGCAAACAGG
rnacentral:rRNA from 1 species